rnacentral:lncRNA from 1 species
GGAGCACCUCGAUCUUCCUUUCCCAUCAAUCAUCGUAUGCCAUAAUUCGAUUCCUGUGCAAUUGCUUGUGCUUUGUUGUACUUGUUACCAAUAGUCGAGCUUUCUUCUAGCUUGAGGCUUGAGGUCUUCUAUUUUUAUUGCUUAUUUAGUUAUUUAUUUUAAGAGCUUUAGUAGAAUGGGACCUUAAUUAUUAAGGUUCGAAAUUGUUGGAACAAAUCAUUUGCUUUAUCAAGAAAGAUUUAUUUUUCGUUGGACCCUAUUUUCAGUGUAUGAGUCAUUUGACCUUUGUAGGGUUAUUUUGUUGCUCAUUAUAUGAAAAUUGUGAAAUUGAUUCCCGCCUGUUAACUACAUAUAUUUGAAGUUUCCCACUCUUGGAGUGGACUCUUCCGCUUCCCACUGCAUAUAUAUACGUAAUAUACCAUGCUUGGUAACUUCAAUUAGAGAGAAUCUACUUCAAGUGAAAUGAAGGGGUCUUUGAGGAAUUACAUACGGAUGAAAGAAGAAUCUGGCAAAAGAAGAAAACUGCAACUGCUGGGAAGUA